rnacentral:rRNA from 1 species
UAACGCGUGGGUAACCUGCCUUAUACNGGGGGAUAACAGUUAGAAAUGACUGCUAAUACCGCAUAAGCGCACAGUACCGCAUGGUAGUGUGUGAAAAACUCCGGUGGUAUAAGAUGGACCCGCGUCUGAUUAGCCAGUUGGCGGGGUAACGGCCCACCAAAGCGACGAUCAGUAGCCGACCUGAGAGGGUGACCGGCCACAUUGGGACUGAGACACGGCCCAAACUCCUACGGGAGGCAGCAGUGGGGAAUAUUGCACAAUGGGGGAAACCCUGAUGCAGCGACGCCGCGUGGGUGACGAAGUAUUUCGGUAUGUAAAGCCCUAUCAGCAGGGAAGAAGAUGACAGUACCUGACUAAGAAGCCCCGGCUAACUACGUGCCAGCAGCCGCGGUAAUACGUAGGGGGCAAGCGUUAUCCGGAUUUACUGGGUGUAAAGGGAGCGUAGGUGGCAUGGCAAGCCAGAAGUGAAAACCCGGGGCUUAACCCCGCGGAUUGCUUUUGGAACUGUCAGGCUGGAGUGCAGGAGGGGCAGGCGGAAUUCCUGGUGUAGCGGUGAAAUGCGUAGAUAUCAGGAGGAACACCGGUGGCGAAGGCGGCCUGCUGGACUGUAACUGACACUGAGGCUCGAAAGCGUGGGGAGCAAACAGGAUUAGAUACCCUGGUAGU